CGAACGCUGGCGGCGUGCCUAAUACAUGCAAGUCGAGCGGACAGAUGGGAGCUUGCUCCCUGAUGUCAGCGGCGGACGGGUGAGUAACACGUGGGUAACCUGCCUGUAAGACUGGGAUAACUCCGGGAAACCGGGGCUAAUACCGGAUGCUUGAUUGAACCGCAUGGUUCAAUUAUAAAAGGUGGCUUUUAGCUACCACUUACAGAUGGACCCGCGGCGCAUUAGCUAGUUGGUGAGGUAACGGCUCACCAAGGCAACGAUGCGUAGCCGACCUGAGAGGGUGAUCGGCCACACUGGGACUGAGACACGGCCCAGACUCCUACGGGAGGCAGCAGUAGGGAAUCUUCCGCAAUGGACGAAAGUCUGACGGAGCAACGCCGCGUGAGUGAUGAAGGUUUUCGGAUCGUAAAACUCUGUUGUUAGGGAAGAACAAGUACCGUUCGAAUAGGGCGGUACCUUGACGGUACCUAACCAGAAAGCCACGGCUAACUACGUGCCAGCAGCCGCGGUAAUACGUAGGUGGCAAGCGUUGUCCGGAAUUAUUGGGCGUAAAGCGCGCGCAGGCGGUUUCUUAAGUCUGAUGUGAAAGCCCCCGGCUCAACCGGGGAGGGUCAUUGGAAACUGGGGAACUUGAGUGCAGAAGAGGAGAGUGGAAUUCCACGUGUAGCGGUGAAAUGCGUAGAGAUGUGGAGGAACACCAGUGGCGAAGGCGACUCUCUGGUCUGUAACUGACGCUGAGGCGCGAAAGCGUGGGGAGCGAACAGGAUUAGAUACCCUGGUAGUCCACGCCGUAAACGAUGAGUGCUAAGUGUUAGAGGGUUUCCGCCCUUUAGUGCUGCAGCAAACGCAUUAAGCACUCCGCCUGGGGAGUACGGUCGCAAGACUGAAACUCAAAGGAAUUGACGGGGGCCCGCACAAGCGGUGGAGCAUGUGGUUAAUUCGAAGCAACGCGAAGAACCUUACCAGGUCUUGACAUCCUCUGACAACCCUAGAGAUAGGGCUUCCCCUUCGGGGCAGAGUGACAGGUGGUGCAUGGUUGUCGUCAGCUCGUGUCGUGAGAUGUUGGGUUAAGUCCCGCAACGAGCGCAACCCUUGAUCUUAGUUGCCAGCAUUCAGUUGGGCACUCUAAGGUGACUGCCGGUGACAAACCGGAGGAAGGUGGGGAUGACGUCAAA
rnacentral:rRNA from 1 species